ensembl:lncRNA
GGAUUAUUGAUAGAACUGAUGGGAUUAUUGAUACAAUUGAUGGGUUUGAUAGGAUUAUUGAUCGCUUGUAGGUAUUAUUGAUGAGAUUAAUGGGAUUAUUGAUGGGAUUAUUGAUAAUUUUGAUGGGAUUAUUGAUACAAUUGAUGAGUUUGAUGUAAUUAUUGAUCGCUUGAAGGCGGUACUGAUGGGAUUAAUGGGAUCAUUAAUAGCUGUGAUGGAAUUAUUGAUAGAAUUGAUGAGUUUAAUGGGAUUAUUGAUCACUUGAAGGCAUUAUUGAUGGGAUUAAUGGGAUUAUUGAUAGCUUUGAUGGGAUUAUUGAUAGAAUUGAUGGGUUUGAU